UGUAGAUUAAUUUGUAAUUCUAAAUUUUGAGAAGAAGGAAAUGUGAGCACAUUCCUCCCUCAGGCCAUUUACAGAUCUGGGGUUUUAAUAUAAUCUCAAGCAGAGACUGAGGAAAGGGAAAGACACAGUGGCAAAGGCCACGUUGGAGAGCUUCCUCAGCAAGAUUCCUCCUUUUGUCCCAGAAAACUUGCAUAACCAACGUGUGCAGCUUCCAUGCUGUUUUCUCUCAGGAACAGACUUUCAUCACAACACCAAGAGGAUAUUUAGCUUGUCUGUUUCCUCUUUCUCCCUUCAUACAUCAUCAAGAAGGAUUUGGUGGCAGUUACUGAAGUUGAUGAAUCUGACUGAAAUUUCUUUUCUGGGUUGUGUGUUACAGGGGUUGCUUGAGGAGCUUUUGUGGUCAGUCUCAGAUGGAAUGGAAUCCUUCACUCUCUGUACCUUCUGGAUUUCACAGUCCUGAAAUGAGUCUCAGAAGCCUGUGAUCUGUUAGACCUGCACACUACUGAAGUGAAAAAAAGAAUGAAACGUAGAAUGUGGAAAGAAGACAGCACUGUUUUUUCUCAUAUUUGUUUUCCUUAUCAGCAAGUCCAACUUUGAAAAGCUGUCUUUGAUUUUGAAAUUUCUCUGCUGUUAUCCUAGAGACUUGUGUAAAUAUUUAGAGAUAUAAAUGCUGUUUUUUGGAGUAAGAGAUACCUGCGCUUUUGUGCACAGCAGUCAGAGAUGAAGUUUUUACAAUAUUCCCUUACAGUAUCCCUGUUUUCUUUAUUUCUGAAAGUUGACAUUGAAAUCAAAUCGGAUCAGUUUCUGGCUUAUGCUUUAAUGAGGUACCAAAGGGCAGUUAAGGAUCUGCUUCUUGAAAUGAUAUGUCUGAAUGAAAACCCACCUGUUGUUUCCUUUUGUCAGCUGUCCUCAGAUUCUCUUCUCAGUCAAAUCUAUGAAAUAAUUUGCCAGUUGUUGCAGUCUGUCAACUACACCUGUUAACUAGAAGUCAUUUCCAUACAACAGCUGUCCCUCCGUGGCUUCUGUGUAAUUAUUUGGCUGUCACCCCCUCUGCUCCCCUGCCCCCCCAAAACCAGAACCCACAGCCAUUUGGCAUUCUUCUAAGUACUUUUAAAGAGCCCCAGGCCUGAGUUGACAUCAAGGUUGGGUGUCAGUCUGGGAGUCAGGGCCCUUUUUGCAGCAGGAUCUAGGACUUUCAGUAAUUUCAUGUAGUUCAUUGGGUCAGAGUUAUGCUGAGCUGGCAAAGUAGAUCUUGCAUAAUGGCUGGUAACGUUUUAUCUGCUGGUGUGGAUAAACAGAGGAUUUUGAUUUUCAUCUCUCUCAGUCAUGCAUUUUUUUCCAACUGCUUGAUUAAUUUUUAAACUAUGCUGUUCAGGCUUUCAUAAUAAUCCUUCUCUUUCAUUCCAGCAAUUUUUGGCAGUUACUAAACUCCAUGCAUGACCAUGAGAUCCUUAAAACAGCUUAUCAAGAGGUAGUUGUACACUGACUAGAGCCAAAAAAGUUGUACUGGAGUACUGCUGUAUGGCACAGCAUUGGCCUAAUCAUUUUCAAAAUGAUCAAUAACUGCUUAGACAUUGAAAUUUGUGACAAUUUUAGUUCUUUUUUUUUUUUUCAGGUAUUAAUAACUUCCUGAUGAAUGCUAUCUUCAAACAUUUUGCAAGCAGCUACAGACCAGUAUGAGACUUUGUAGCUAGUUUUUAGACUGCAUAACGUUCAUUUCUUCCCUCUGGCUGCUGUUUUGAUUCUAGACAAUUCCCAAAAAAAUAUUCACCAAAACACUUCAGACCUUAAUUUUUGAAAAAAAGUUUUCCCCAAUUCAGCCUUGUUUUUUUUGAUUAAAAAAACUUGUCUGCUUUCAUUUCCUCCAGCUUAGGUUAAUGGCUCUUCUUUUUGGUUUGCCUAGUAAACUGCUUCAUUGCAAUCAAAUUUGGUGUGAAAUUCAGCUGUCAGAGUGCAAAAAAAACAAGAAUGACAUCAACUCAGUCCUUGUUUAGAGCUUGCUAUUCAUACAACAAAGGGAGAUUUCAAGGCCCUUCUAAUGUUCUGCCUUCCUCUAUCAUCAGGUCCCAGAUUGUAUUUCAGAUUUGGAUCUUUUUGUUGAAUAAGACAUGUUUCACUUUUUAGUGAAGUGGAUGACUAAAAAAUACCUUGAAUCACACUGUGUUCUCUCAUACCCAAAGCACCUACAGAGUGGCCCUUGAUCCCCUGUGUGGGUUAUACAAUUGUACAUUAAGGAAUUAGCAGAUGCUACAGGAAGAGCUACAUAUACUGUGACCUACGUUUCACCACUCAAAAUUACACAAGCUGUUGUUCAGGUUUAUUUGACUCCAUGUUAAAUCUCAGCCCUAGCCUCAGCACAUCUGACUGUGUCUUGAACAACUUUAAUUAAAAAAAACCACACAAAUGUUGACAUGUGGAUAGCCACGAGGAAAAGAUGAAAUUCUGAACAUACUGAACUUGCAACUGGGAGGAAUUUUCUGAGUCAGUGAGCCCUAUCCCAUGUUUUUCCAGGAAAACUUUCUUUCACUAAUCAUGGUCUACAUUAAAGUUUAUUUGGUUGGAUAAUCUACUGCCUUUGAAAGCCAAACAUCUCAUAGACUCCAUGUGGGUUGGGAUUUCAUUUCAAGUGCCAGUCCUAUGAAGAAAGGCUGAGAACACUUGGGUUAUGUAGCCUAGAAAAAACUCCAGAGAGAAUUUACAGUGGCCUUCCAGUAAUUAAAGAAGGCCUACUGGAAAGAUGUAGGGGGACUUUUUACCAGGGAGUAUAGUGGCAUGACGAAGGGUAACCAUCUGAAACAGUAAGAGGGUAGAUUUAGAUUAGUUAUAAGGAAAACAUUCUUCACUAUGAGGUGAUGAGACACUGGAACAGGUUGCCCAGAGAAGCUGUGGAUGUCUCCCUGCAAGCUCCCUGCAAGCAUGGAAGGCCAAGUUGGAUGGGGAUUUGGGCAACCUGAUGUAGUGUGUGGCAACCUUGGCCAUGAUAGGCAGGAUGUAACUGUAGGAUAUUUAAGGUCCCUUCCAACUCACGGAAAUUUUCUGACUAAUAACCCUAGGGUUAAGGUUGUUACACUCCUACUUACAGGUAUAUCUGAAUGGAGUACUGGCCUCCUUUUCUGUAGGGAGUAUGUAGAAUGACCGUAGAGGUUGGGAUAAGAAGGUUUUCUGCAUGUUAAACAUCUUCUGUUAUGCAGUGGGGAGAAUUUUAUGUCUAAAAUCUCCAGUUUCCAGUGGUAGGUGGUGGCAAGAGAUUCCUUGCUCCUUUUCUUAAUGCAGACUUCAUCAUCACCCUAGCUGUGUGUUGGUGACUAAUUUUUUUCCCUAAGCUAAAAGGCAAAACUGAGAGUAUUAGAGGGUGAAGUACUAACCUGCUUUACAAUACUGCAAAUUUUUUGCUAUUGAUCUUGUGCUGGUGAAGGUAGUUUUUUGUCCUUGUUAUAUAGUUUUCCAAUUUCUCUCUCUUUUGCAGCACUUACCUCCCAGCUGUGCUCAAUUUUAUAUCAGUCCUGGAGGAAACUUGUCAAACAGAUUCUGCACUUUGCUUCCCUAAAUUCACAUCCAGCUUUCCAAAGUAUUUUUCUGUUUGCUUCAUGAUUUUGUCCUUUCUGUAACUUUCUGAGAAGCAGUGGAAAGGCAAACUAUCAUUGCAGACCAUUUGCCUGUCUGGCAAGGGAAAUGGCAUGAUUUAAAUGUGGCUGAGCUAAAGCAAUAUUAAAACCUCCAGGAAAAUUCUAACAUUUGUUCGGAUGUUUUUGUUUAUUUUUGGAGCUGUGGAAUAUCCAUGAUUGUCAAUGUUUUGACCCUCACUUUGAAGAAUGUCAAAUUUGUGCCAGCAAACUCAACUGUCAAUAUUUUCAUUUCACACAUCCUUAUAGAAGUUCAUAACUGAUCUAUAAAAUUACACAUACUGAGCAUAUGUGGUCACAGGUAGGAAAGGAUUUAAUAAAUGAAUACAUUAAUACAAAUGCGUCUUUUUAAAGGUUAUAAUGCCACAAUUAUAUUUUUUUCAAAUGCAUUUACAAUCCUGUUAUUUAAAGGCAAGCCUGUCAGAUUUUUCUUCUUCUAAACUCAAAAUGAUUAACCUCUUAGUCUUUAAUGUGGACUGAUGGAGUGCCUGUGACCAUUAUGGCAAAUAACCACAUUAUUGCAUUUAGGAAAUUAGCUACUGUGUGCUUAUGAUAAUUCUGUCCCCAUGAAACUAGCUCACAAAUUUUAAGCAAGCAGGCUUAUUGCAGAAUUCUGUUCUGCUUUUAGAUACACACUGUCUUUGUGUAUUCACAUAGAUUCAUCAGAGUGUAUUUGAAAGGAUCUUUGUCAGCCAGUGUUAACGUUAGGAGUUUCUAUGCUGAAAGACAGGGUAAGGGGGGAGCUAAGGGGUUUGACUUUCAGAAUGCUGUACAUUUUGAAGAGAAAAUGAGUAACCUUUUGAAAAUUUUUCAAUAAAUCCCAAUGUCUAACUGAACAAUACUUCUGCAGGAAAUCUAUCCCAGUGGUGUGCUGCUCAAUCAUCAGUCUCAAUGGUAAGAGUAGCAGCACAGGUCAGUCUAGUCCUAGUUUUGUAACAUCCUGCUUCACACAGGCAGCUCUCAGCAGCAUUAUGUGGCAGUGGUGUGGUCCCCACCCUGUCCUCAUUGCUUCCAUGUGUGAAACUAUGACUUGAGGAGCUAAAAGUUUAUAAUAAGGCUUUCCCAUCAGAGAGAGAAAAGUAAAUAAAUAAAAAUGGUGGUGACCAUCUUGAAGAUUUCUGAAUACCCUAGUAUUUCAGUGUGCAAUGAAAUCAUGAGCCCUACUAUGCCUUGCAUGGUUUUGUAUUUCAGUCAAAAGAGGUCACAGGGUUCAAGUACUAGGGUUACAUUAAUAUGGCAAUAUGUUGAAAAUAUAAAGAUACGGUGUCCUGAAAUAAGCUCUAAAUAUCACUAAAUAAAUAAUUCUGUGCUUGGAAUGUAUGACAUUCUGAUGUCAAGACAAUCUGAUUAGUGUCUAUCAACUAAUUUGGGAUGAUGUUAAUUCUCUUACAGAAGUAAGUUGGCAUACUUUCUAGUAAAGCCUUACAGGAUGCAUUAAUAAGUCUCAAAAAAUUAAUGAGCAGAAAUAUCACACAAAUCCUUUUGGAAAAAAUAAAAAACAAUAUUCUUUAUCCUGCAAUUUAUUUUGCAGAACGAGGUAAAUACUUGAUAACUCCAUGAAAAUGAAAGCUUUUCCAGAAUUUCCUUGCUCCUGAUAGAGUACAAAAAUACCCUCUGUCUUUAAAAAGUGUACGUGUUUUUUUUUGGUUGCUUUUUCUCUUUGCACAAGUAGUGUAAUAGGAAGUGAAGUCUAAUAUCAUCCAGCCUUUGUAUUAUAGAUGUCCAUAGCUGCAAUAACAAAAUUCCAAAUGUGGUAAAACUGAUUUGAUUUUGUAUUUGUUCACAGUUUUUUGUUGGAUUUUCAGAAUUUAAAGGGCAGUGAACAAAUCUGGCCAACUUCAAGGCAUGUUCUUCACGUGCAGUACACAUAGACUUGCUUAGGAUAUUUAGGAACUGAUGGUUGGACUGGGAUACUUGGUAGCAGGAUCCAGAUUUUCACUGGUUCUUUACAGAGAAAGGAGUCUGGAAGAAAAUGUAAACAUUUCCAUCUGUUCCCUGGGAACUGGAAUUGAUUACCCUACUUUGAAAAGGAGCCCUUCAGAAUGGCAAUGAAAAUAUAAGGAAUUUCUUAUAACAUCAGGAAAAAAAAAAAUUGAGAAGGUAACGACAGCAUUUUAUUUUAAUGGGCACCAUACAUAUUUCAGGAUUUAUUUAUUUCCUUGAUUCAUAUUUACUUUGAUCUCCUUGAAAAAAUGUUGGGCUUUCUCCUUGGCUACCCUGGUAUAAAAAUACUAGUUUGUUCCUUUGCAUUACUGGAAGAUGAAAACAGUAUUUGGCCUAGAUAGUAUUAGAGGAACGUUUCCGACAAAAGGUAGCUAAUGACUUUCUAUUAAAAAACUAAAACCCAAGAACUUCAUAUCCAUACAAUCAUACAUUUCUGUGCUUGUCUGCUGCAUGGUGGGGAAGAAAUUGUUGCCAGCUUUUAAAAGUAAAAAUUUGAGCAACUUGACAAUUUAGCUAUACAGUCCACUUACAAUUCCCAUUUCAAAUGGACUUGGAUACAAAUCUGAGCAUAGAUUCAUACAAUCCAUGGAACCAUAAUAAAAUCCUAUUACUCAUACAACAAGAAGAAUUUCUAUUGCUCCUAGGACAAGGCUGCCAGAAAUUCUGCAGUAAUGCCCUGGUGAAUGCAAGAAUUUUUCAAUAUGCUCAUAAGACUGCAAUUCAAAGACAAGAGGCAGUUGCAGUAGGCUCCUAAAUAGCUAUCAAUUGACUGAUACACUUAGUUGGUUAAUUAAUCUUUGAUGAAAGACCUACUCAAAAGACUAAAUUCAAAAUGUAAGAACUUGUGCUUUUCUAAAAUUAAUCCAGUUGUCAUAUUUUUCUUUUCACAACAGAAAGAGAAAUGGGAUGGGGACAUUCAUUUGACUGUUUCAUUUCUGAAACACUAAUGUAAACUUGGAAUUGACCUGUCAUUUGAAAAAUGAGCAAUACCAAAAGUUAUGAAGUGCAAAGAAAAUAUACAACAAGACGAGAAAAGAGGGAGUCUUGGAACAGUAAUCAAAGGGAGUACUUAUUCUGUCUUUGGUAACAGGAAAAGUACAAAGAUGGAAUUCACAAAGAAACAUAAAGGGAAAAAAAAUCUCUUGGAAAUGUUUGUAUCAAAAUCUCAUCUACCACCAACCCUUUUUUAUAGAAGGAAGUCAGCACUACUGGAAAAGAAAAUGCUAAAUCUGUGUUCUUUGACUCAUCUUCAUUUCUGCUGCUUACCUAAGAAAACAGCAACUCUGUCCAGGUUGGAGAGGUUCUCUUAAUAUUUUUUUACUCUAUGCAGAAUUUUACCUAACUUGCAUCAUUUUUCAGAAGCUUAUUCAAAACAGGUUUCCUAAAAAGAAUAUGCAAUUACAAUGCUAAAUGAGUACCAGAAAAUGGAAACAGUCAGUUUUGAGAACUCCAUUGUAUCUACAGGAUUUAGAUCACAUUUUCAACUGCAUCAAUUUUUACGUGUAAGAAGGAAGAGACAAAAGAAACAAAGAUAAAGUGGGAAGUCUUUAGGGACAGCAAGCAGAUUCAGAACAAUAUGGAAGUAAUCAAAAGUCAGUCAACAGACAAAAUAAAUCUUCAUAGAAGGGAAGUACUGGCUAAAGCUAGAGCAGUUUAUGGAAAGUCAGACUAAGGUAGAUGCAGUCUGUUUACAUAAAAGACUAAGAGAUUACAAUAAAGAUAUGAGAUAAUUAGCAUUGGCUAAAUCUCACAUGGUUUGGAGCUUUGUUUCAGUUAGAAUAAGCAUCAAGAAAUCUGUCUGCUUUACUAGAUCUUCUCCAUGGCUUCAAGUUUAUUAAAGCAAAAAUUCACAGAAGAAUAUAUGCAGAAAUCCUAGCACUUCUUCCAAAUGUCCCCUCUUCCAUGUUGUAGACUAUUUAUUAGUGCUUCCCAAAGGUACAUAAAAGUGUAUUCUAACCCUGAUUUUCUUUAAACACCUUGAUUCCCAAGUAGCAUUUGAGUUUUAGAUAAUACUUAUUUUCAUGUCUCAUUCCUCUAGCAUAAUUCACUCCAUUUUUAAAAUCACUAGAUAAAGAAGCAAGUGAAUUGUUACCAAUGUAUGUAUUUAUAUAUAAAGAUAUGUAUAUAUGUAUUUACAUAUAUAAAUUUCUGAAUUUUGAAGACAAAGUUGAAGAGAAAUAAAGCAUCCAGAUUGUAGUACAAUGCUUUUCUUCCAAGAGUACAGUGUAUAAACAACAAAAUUUCAAAUACUUGAUUGGUUGUCAGAUCAUGAAGAUGAAAGAAACUUUUGUACACAUAGCUGCAAAGGAGAAAAGAAAACAAGAUAGAUUAAAAGUCCUGCAUGUGAUUGAAUUACGGUUGACACAAGACAGACACACUUAAGACUCCAGCAUAACAUUCAUCCUGUUGAAUGAGCUGUUAGCUGACUCUUAGGGUAAUCCCAGACAUCACUGUGCUCAGGAAUCCCAGCUUCCCAGUCAUCCUCGUGUUACAUCUUCUGAGUGUAUGUCCAGAAUGCUACAGGUUUUUCGUCACAUGGAAAAUUUUUCUUUUGAAUUUGGUUCAGCAGCAAUCUAGCUUCCAGGGGUCAAAGGAAUCCAGAGGAAUCUGAGUGUGUAAAGACUGCAUCCAAUAUCUUUCUGUUGGUGAAUGGGCUUGGAGAUUCCAAAGGGGUUUUAUUCACUCCUUCUUCCCCUUUAACCCAUUCCAAACAUUUAUCUUCCCUCCCUUUCUAAGACAGAGACAUAGGUUACUAAAUCUACUCCAGAUGUAGAUGUAUUUCUGUACUUUGUGCUGUCUCUGCAUUUUGCUGUGUGGAAUAUGUAGUGUCUGCCCAUCUCAGGUACAGCUGUAGUACAAGAUAUCACUGGUGUUUCCCUUUGUCCACAUAUUUGACAUCCCCUCUUACAUACUUACCAAAGCUUGAACCUGACAGUACUUCUCACUGCU